rnacentral:tRNA from 1 species
UAUUGAAUGGCUGACAAAAGCGUUAGACUCUUAAUCUAUACUAUAGUAAAUUAAUACUUUCAAUAA